GCGCGUGUAGCUCAGCUGGUUAGAGUGUCGCCUCGACAUGGCGAAGGUCCUCGGUUCGAUCCCGAGCACGCGCACCA
rnacentral:tRNA from 1 species